CCCUACACACCAGGGAAACAAAGUGAUCACACAAAGCCAAUACUUACAAUGUUUCAAAGUGUCUUUAUUUGUUAUUGUCAUUCAGUAUCACGUUUCCAACAGUCUCACAGCAUCAGAUGCAGAAUGCAGAGAAAAGGGGAAAAAUAAAUCUCAAACUUAAACCAUUUUCCUUUUCCACAUACUAAAAUAAAAAACACCAAAUAAUACAGUCUCCUUCAAAGAAAAUAGAAAAAGUAGCAAAACUAAGGAGCAGUCUGGAACUAUAAGGACAACAGAACAGAAAGAUGGAUCUGCAUAAAUACAUAUAUACAAAAACCAACAGCAUCAUAUCUCCCCGUGAAAGCAGAGUGCAGUGUGUAGCAGUUGACGCAGGAAACAGACCUUUUACUGGGGGGGAAAAAAAAAAAAGAAUCAUCUCGUUGAUCCGGGAGGAAAAUACUAAACACCUAAAUAGUUCAGUUUGUUUGGAUUACUGCUCAUAAUGCGAACAUAUCCAUAUUGUAGCCACCAGUAGAUGAUUAAAUAUCACAAUUACUAACAUCACCAUUCAUGUGUUAAUUAACAAGAGGAUUAUUUAAAUGGAUCAUCUACAUGCGCAACCAAAAUCCUGCAAGCAAAUGGGAGGCGUUUUGACCAGAGUCCUAUGAGGCCUGGUCAAAAGUAGUGCACUACAUAGGGAAUAGGGUGCCAACCCUGGUCAAAAGUAGUGCACUACAUAGGGAAUAGGGUGCCGUUUGAUACACAUCCGAUGACUCUCCAACUCAAUGUUUCAGACGAAAAUCACUGGUGUCCGAACCAGGAAAUGAGGUCACUCAAAGCCAACCCGACAACAAAUCACUGGUGUCCAAACCAGGAAAUGAGGUCACUCAAAGCCAACCCGACACCAAAUCACUUGUGUCCAAACCAGGAAAUGAGGUCACUUAAAGCCAACCCGACAACAAAUCACUUGUGUCCAAACCAGGAAAUGAGGUCACUCAAAGCCAACCCGACAACAAAUAACUGGUGUCCAAACCAACCUAUCAGGUCACUCAAAGCCAACCCGACACCAAAUCACUGGUGUCCAAACCCACCUAUCAGGUCACUCAAAGCCAACCCGACAACAAAUCACUGGUGUCCAAACCCACCUAUCAGGUCACUCAAAGCCAACCCGACAACAAAUCACUGGUGUCCAAACCCACCUAUCAGGUCACUCAAAGCCAACCCGACAACAAAUCACUGGUGUCCAAACCCACCUAUCAGGUCACUCAAAGCCAACCCGACAACAAAUCACUGGUGUCCAAACCCACCUAUCAGGUCACUCAAAGCCAACCCGACAACAAUCACUGGUGUCCAAACCAACCUAUCAGGUCACUCAAAGCCAACCCGACAACAAUCACUGGUGUCCAAACCAACCUAUCAGGUCACUCAAAGCCAACCCGACAACAAAUCACUGGUGUCCAAACCAACCUAUCAGGUCACUCAAAGCCAACCCGACAACAAAUCACUGGUGUCCAAACCAACCUAUCAGGUCACUCAAAGCCAACCCGACACACCAUUUUGUUAUUACAUUUUGCCAGGGAUGCCCACCUCCCCUUUAAAAACGGUAGUUUGGUAA
ensembl:lncRNA